AGUGAACGCUGGCGGUAGGCCUAACACAUGCAAGUCGAACGGCAGCACAGGAGAGCUUGCUCUCUGGGUGGCGAGUGGCGGACGGGUGAGGAAUACAUCGGAAUCUACUUUUUCGUGGGGGAUAACGUAGGGAAACUUACGCUAAUACCGCAUACGACCUACGGGUGAAAGCAGGGGACCUUCGGGCCUUGCGCGAUUGAAUGAGCCGAUGUCGGAUUAGCUAGUUGGCGGGGUAAAGGCCCACCAAGGCGACGAUCCGUAGCUGGUCUGAGGGGCAGAUCAGCCCCACUGGAACUGAGACACGGUCCAGACUCCUACGGGAGGCAGCAGUGGGGAAUAUGGGACGAUGGGGGCAAGCCUGAUCAAUCCAUACCGCGUGGGUGAAGAAGGCCUUCGGGUUGUAAAGCCCUUUUGUUGGGAAAGAAAUCCAGCUGGCUAAUACCCGGUUGGGAUGACGGUACCCAAAGAAUAAGCACCGGCUAACUUCGUGCCAGCAGCCGCCGCGG
rnacentral:rRNA from 1 species